GACGAACGCUGGCGGCGUGCUUAACACAUGCAAGUCGAACGGAAAGGCCCUGCUUUUGUGGGGUGCUCGAGUGGCGAACGGGUGAGUAACACGUGAGUAACCUGCCCUUGACUUUGGGAUAACUUCAGGAAACUGGGGCUCAUACCGGAUAGGAGCUCCUGCUGCAUGGUGGGGGUUGGAAAGUUUCGGCGGUUGGGGAUGGACUCGCGGCUUAUCAGCUUGUUGGUGGGGUAGUGGCUUACCAAGGCUUUGACGGGUAGCCGGCCUGAGCGGGUGACAGGCCACAUUGGGACUGAGAUACGGCACAGACCACAACGGGAGGCAGGGGUGGGGAGGAUUACACAAGAGGAGGGAGGCUGAUGCAGCAACGCCGCGUGCGGGAUGACAGCCUUCGGGUUGUAAACCGAUUUCGCCUGUGACGAAGCGUGAGUGACGGUAAUGGGUAAAGAAGCACCGGCUAACUACGUG
rnacentral:rRNA from 1 species